AAGAUAACAAUCCCUUCUACAAGAGGGGGCGAGCAAAACCAACUGAACUGAUAAAACAACCAAUCAACUGAGCAGAAGACUGACUCCACCCCCAAGGACCCAGCAUAGACCCAAACACAGGCACACACAUACAGAGGCAGCAUUUCACAUCCAAGAACUACAUACACAGAGACAACAUAGACCUGGGCAAUUGUGAAUCUGUGUGUUGCGUUAACAACUCCCAUAGAUCUAUCAAAACUGUGAGAAGAGAAUAGCUAUUAAUUAAUGGGAGAUAUUACCAUAACGGAGACAUUGUAAGAGUCUUCAUAGAGCUGUCAAAACAUUAGACUGCGCCUUGGAUACAGGCUCAUGUCAUGAGGUCAAAGGUCUAAAGCCACAAGCCAGAGGAUUUGUCAUAAUUUAACAGGUCACUUGUUGCUAUACACUGCGCAGCUGAACAGUUCCAUAGAGCCUCCGUAAACGGUAUUCAGAAAUUCCCUUAGACCAUAUUGGGAUACUUAAGGGUGAACAUGCAGCAUUAACUGGGCAGUUGGGAAGGUAUGCUCCAUCUCUGGCACAAGCAACACAACAGUAUCGAACGGUGAGUGUUCUGUGCAGGGUCGGCAGUUAUCUUCACUCCACGGAGACUUCCACCACUCCCACAUAUUUCAAGCUGCAAUAAAUUUGAUUUCUUAUGUGAUGUAUAUUUAUGUGCCUCUUGAGGAAUCUAGAUUUAUAAUAAAAUGCUAGAGACCUGUGA